GAACGCUGGCGGCAUGCCUUACACAUGCAAGUCGAACGGCAGCACGGGAGCAAUCCUGGUGGCGAGUGGCGAACGGGUGAGUAAUAUAUCGGAACGUGCCCAGUCGUGGGGGAUAACGUAGCGAAAGCUACGCUAAUACCGCAUACGAUCUAUGGAUGAAAGCGGGGGAUCGCAAGACCUCGCGCGAUUGGAGCGGCCGAUAUCAGAUUAGGUAGUUGGUGAGGUAAAGGCUCACCAAGCCGACGAUCUGUAGCUGGUCUGAGAGGACGACCAGCCACACUGGGACUGAGACACGGCCCAGACUCCUACGGGAGGCAGCAGUGGGAAUUUUGGACAAUGGGCGCAAGCCUGAUCCAGCAAUGCCGCGUGCAGGAUGAAGGCCUUCGGGUUGUAAACUGCUUUUGUACGGAACGAAACGGUGAGCUCUAAUACAGUUUGCUAAUGACGGUACCGUAAGAAUAAGCACCGGCUAACUACGUG
rnacentral:rRNA from 1 species